rnacentral:lncRNA from 1 species
UGACUUCACAAAGCAAUCCCGAGUCAACAAGCAGGCGCCAGAGGACCAGCUGCCCCCAGCGUGCAACGAUAAGGAGGCGACGUUGGCUUCUGUGCUCUGUGAUCCACGCUGGCUCUGGGCCCCCAUCCCUCUGCCUGCCUCCUCGCUCUCUGCCCCUUGACCUAAUCCAAGAUGCUUCCUGGGAGAUCGCCAACUCCUUACCAGAGAUGGUAGAGGAGGCCUGUCUCGGAGCCGCCCUGCCUUCACAUCCCUGCUCCUUGGGCUGGGCUUUGCACCGCUGCCCUGUGGCUUUUCUGACUCAGUGAUGGUCAACGUGAAGGCACAUUGCUGCCCAAUCUCUUUUGAUGUCUCCUGCUUCACAUGGUGAUUCCCUUUCUUAUUUCUGUUUUGAGAAAUUGAGCAAGACCUGCCAUUAAAGCAGCAUUGGCUAACAUGAUUUAUACUUGGCAAUAAGGCAGCCCAGGUGGCUCAGCAGUUUAGCGCCGCUGUCAGCCCCGGGCGUGAUCCUGGGGACCCGGGGUCGAGUCCCACAUCAGGCUCCGUGCAUGGAGCCUGCUUCUCCCUCUGCCUGUGUCUCUGCCUCUCUCUCUCUCUCUCUCAUAAUAAAUAAAUAAAUCUUUAUACUUGGCAAUAAUGUAGCAACUGCCUGGAAAUAACCUCAGGUUUUCUUAAUUAAAUUAGUCACAAACUUCCAGGGAAUAACCCAAAGGUCAUUAUUAUCACUGCAAUCCUAAGAACCUAUAUAUAAGAAAAAAUGAGUUGAUUACCUUAUUUGGGGUUUGAGUUAAUUUGAUUUACACGCUGCUCUGGAUAGUGGUAUAAAAGGAAAGUGGUGCUUGUUUUUCAUAUUCUGCGGAUUUCUAUUCUUAGCUUGGAUAGUAUGCCUAAGCACUUAAAAAAAAAAGUUGGCGCACACUGCCGAAAGCAAUAAAUUGCUAAAGAACUCAUUUUUGACGCUGGCUUUAGCACCUUUGACCUUAGACUAACUUUAUUUACUCAGUUACUCUGUUAAACAUUAUUAUAUAAUAUAUCAUACAGGGAUAUUUUACUUUUCUGGAGGAAUUAUUCCUCAGGACCGCUCUGAAGCUAUAGAGU